rnacentral:rRNA from 1 species
GGGUGCGCACCGCGUAUGGAACCUGCCUUGUACAGGGGAAUAGCCCAGGGAAACUUGGAUUAAUGCCCCGUAGUACCGCGACCCGGCAUCGGGAUGCGGUUAAAGUCUUCGGGCGGUACAAGAUGGCCAUGCGUCCCAUUAGCUAGUUGGUAAGGUAACGGCUUACCAAGGCUACGAUGGGUAGGGGCCCUGAGAGGGGGAUCCCCCACACUGGUACUGAGACACGGACCAGACUCCUACGGGAGGCAGCAGUGAGGAAUAUUGGACAAUGGAGGAGACUCUGAUCCAGCCAUGCCGCGUGCAGGAAGAAUGCCCUAUGGGUAGUAAACUGCUUUUAUACGGGAAGAAAAAGAGCUACGUGUAGCUUACUGACGGUACCGUAAGAAUAAGGACCGGCUAACUCCGUGCCAGCAGCCGCGGUAAUACGGAGGGUCCGAGCGUUAUCCGGAAUU